CUUGGUCGCAAAGUGUGUGUGUGUGUGUGUGUGUGUGUGUGUGUGUAUCACACACACACACACACACACACACACACACACAGUAAAGA